rnacentral:rRNA from 1 species
AAGCCUGACGCAGCAACGCCGCGUGCGGGAUGAAGGCCUUCGGGUUGUAAACCKCUUUCAGCAGGGAAGAAGCGAAAGUGACGGUACCUGCAGAAGAAGCACCGGCUAACUACGUGCCAGCAGCCGCGGUAAUACGUAGGGUGCAAGCGUUGUCCGGAUUUAUUGGGCGUAAAGAGCUCGUAGGCGGUUAGUCACGUCGGAUGUGAAAACCCAGUGCUUAACAYUGGGCCUGCAUUCGAUACGGGCUGACUAGAGUGUUGUAGGGGAGAYUGGAACUCCUGGUGUAGCGGUGAAAUGCGCAGAUAUCAGGAAGAACACCGGUGGCGAAGGCGGGUCUCUGGGCAACUACUGACGCUGAGGAGCGAAAGCGUGGGGAGCAAACAGGAUURGAUACCCUGGUAGUCCACGCCGUAAACGGUGSSCGMUUGGUGUGGGGAACAUUCCACGUUCUCCGUGCCGCAGCUAACGCAUAAGCK